rnacentral:rRNA from 1 species
AGGGCGUAUGGUGGAUGCCUAGGCUCUCAGAGGCGAAGAAGGACGUGAUAAGCUGCGAAAAGCUCCGUUUAGGUGCAAAUAACCUUUGAUGCGGAGAUUUCCGAAUGGGAUAACCCAAUAUGUUGAAGACAUAUUAUACCGUAAGGUAGGCAAACGCAGGGAACUGAAACAUCUAAGUACCUGCAGGAGAAGAAAACAAACGUGAUUCCCCCAGUAGCGGCGAGCGACCGGGGAUAAGCCCAAACCGUUAUUGUUUCGGCAGUAGCGGGGUAGUAGGACUGCGACAUUGAUGAAAUAAAUGAAAUGGAACACCUUGGAAAAUGUGAUCACAGAGGGUGAUAAUCCCGUACAUGCAAGUUUAUGAAUCAUAGCAGUAUCCUGAGUAAGUCGGGACACGUGUAAUCCUGACCGAAUCCGCCGGGACCAUCCGGCAAGGCUAAAUACUCCUGAGAGACCGAUAGUGAACCAGUACCGUGAGGGAAAGGUGAAAAGCACUUCGAACAGAAGAGUGAAAUAGUCCCUGAACCCAUACGCCUACAAGCUGUCGGAGCCGCUUCGUGCGGUGACGGCGUGCCUUUUGCAUAAUGAGCCUACGAGUUACUCAUCACCAGCGAGGUUAAGUACUUCAGGUACGUAAGCCGAAGCGAAAGCGAGUCUGAAUAGGGCGUCAAGUUGGUGGUGGUAGACGCGAAACCUUAGUGAUCUACCCAUGGGCAGGGUGAAGGUUUGGUAACACAAACUGGAGGCCCGAACCGGUAAACGUUGAAAAGUUUUCGGAUGACCUGUGGGUAGGGGUGAAAGGCCAAUCAAACUGGGAAAUAGCUCGUACUCUCCGAAAUGCAUUUAGGUGCAGCCUCUGUUGUUUUGUUCUAGAGGUAGAGCUACUGAUUGGAUGCGAGGGCUUCACCGCCUAUCAAAUCCGGCCAAACUCCGAAUGCUAGAACAUGAAGACAGGGAGUGAGCCAGCGGGUGCUAAGGUCCGUUGACGAAAGAGGGAGAACUCAGACCAUCAGCUAAGGUCCCCAAUUAUAUGCUAAGUUGGAAUUAAAACGGGGUGGGACUGCUUAGACAGCUAGGAUGUUGGCUUGGAAGCAGCCAUUCAUUUAAAGAGUGCGUAACAGCUCACUAGUCGAGCGGUCCUGCAUGGAUAAUACGCGGGCAUAAGCAUAUAACCGAAGCUAUGGGAUUGUAGAUGAUACAAUCGGUAGGAGAGCAUUCCAUUCAGCAUAGAAGCAGUACCGUGAGGUAUUGUGGAGCGGAUGGAAAAGCAAAUGUAGGCAUAAGUAACGAUAAUGCGGGUGAGAACCCCGCACGCCGAAAGAUCAAGGAUUCCCCGGCAAUGUCAAUCAUCCGGGGGUAAGUCGGAUCCUAAGGGUAAGCCGAGUGGCGAUCCCGAUGGCAAACAGGUUAAUAUUCCUGUACUGAUCAUAACUGCGAUGCAGCGACGCAGAGGUGACACUGCUGCGUACUGACGGAAUAGUACGUUGAAACCCGUAUUCUUUGAUACCGGUAGUGAAGCACGCCGGUAGAGAUGAAAGGUGAUAGUACCGCAAUGCUUCGGUUGCGCGGAUAACGCAGGUAAGCUGACUGCCAAGAAAACCUGCUAAGCUUCAGGUAAUGAUCAUCCGUACUGUAAACGGACACACGUGAUCAGGUAGAAAAUACUAAGGCGCUCGAGAGAUUCAUGGUUAAGGAACUAGGCAAAAUGGUCCUGUAACUUCGGGAUAAAGGACGCUCUUGUGAAAGAGCCGCAGAUAAUAGGCCCAGGCGACUGUUUACCAAAAACACAUGGCUAUGCUAAUUCGCAAGAAGAUGUAUAUGGCCUGACACCUGCCCGGUGCCGGAAGGUUAAGAGGAGAGCUCAGAGGCAACUCGAAGGUUUGAAUUGAAGCCCCGGUAAACGGCGGCCGUAACUAUAACGGUCCUAAGGUAGCGAAAUUCCUUGUCGGGUAAGUUCCGACCUGCACGAAUGGUGUAACGAUCUGGGCACUGUCUCGACCAUGAGCUCGGUGAAAUUGUAGUUCCGGUGAAGAUGCCGGGUACCCGCGACGGGACGGAAAGACCCCGUGAACCUUUACUGCAGCUUCGCGUUGUUCCCGGGCACGGGACGUGUAGGAUAGGUCGGAGGCUUUGAAGCGGAUUCGCCAGGAUUCGUGGAGCCAUCGUUGAAAUACGACCCUUCUCUUGUCUGGGAUCUAACCCAUGGUAAUGGGGACACCGCGUGGUGGGUAGUUUGACUGGGGUGGUCGCCUCCAAAAGCGUAACGGAGGCUUCCAAAGGUACCCUCGGGUUGGUUGGUAAUCAACCGUAGAGUGCAAUGGCACAAGGGUGCUUGACCGGGAGACCAACAAGUCGAUCGGGUGCGAAAGCAGGGCAUAGUGAUCCGGUGAUCCCGCGUGGAAGGGUCAUCGCUCAAAGGAUAAAAGGUACUCCGGGGAUAACAGGCUGAUCGCCCCCAAGAGCUCAUAUCGACGGGGCGGUUUGGCACCUCGAUGUCGGCUCGUCACAUCCUGGGGCUGGAGAAGGUCCC